rnacentral:rRNA from 1 species
AGUGAACGCUGGCGGUAGGCCUAACACAUGCAAGUCGAACGGCAGCACAGUAAGAGCUUGCUCUUACGGGUGGCGAGUGGCGGACGGGUGAGGAAUACAUCGGAAUCUACUUUUUCGUGGGGGAUAACGUAGGGAAACUUACGCUAAUACCGCAUACGACCUACGGGUGAAAGCAGGGGAUCUUCGGACCUUGCGCGAUUGAAUGAGCCGAUGUCGGAUUAGCUAGUUGGCGGGGUAAAGGCCCACCAAGGCGACGAUCCGUGGCUGGUCUGAGAGGAUGAUCAGCCACACUGGAACUGAGACACGGUCCAGACUCCUACGGGAGGCAGCAGUGGGGAAUAUUGAACAAUGGGCGCAAGCCUGAUCCAGCCAUACCGCGUGGGUGAAGAAGGCCUUCGGGUUGUAAAGCCCUUUUGUUGGGAAAGAAAAGCAGCAGGUUAAUACCCCGCUGUUCUGACGGUACCUAAAGAAUAAGCACCGGCUAACUUCGUG